GUGAACGCUGGCGGUAGGCCUAACACAUGCAAGUCGAACGGCAGCACAGUAAGAGCUUGCUCUUACGGGUGGCGAGUGGCGGACGGGUGAGGAAUACAUCGGAAUCUACUUUUUCGUGGGGGAUAACGUAGGGAAACUUACGCUAAUACCGCAUACGACCUACGGGUGAAAGCAGGGGAUCUUCGGACCUUGCGCGAUUGAAUGAGCCGAUGUCGGAUUAGCUAGUUGGCGGGGUAGAGGCCCACCAAGGCGACGAUCCGUAGCUGGUCUGAGAGGAUGAUCAGCCACACUGGAACUGAGACACGGUCCAGACUCCUACGGGAGGCAGCAGUGGGGAAUAUUGGACAAUGGGCGCAAGCCUGAUCCAGCCAUACCGCGUGGGUGAAGAAGGCCUUCGGGUUGUAAAGCCCUUUUGUUGGGAAAGAAAAGCAGCAGGUUAAUACCCCGCUGUUCUGACGGUACCCAAAGAAUAAGCACCGGCUAACUUCGUG
rnacentral:rRNA from 1 species